GACGAACGCUGGCGGCGUGCUUAACACAUGCAAGUCGAGCGGUAAGGCCCCUUCGGGGGUACACGAGCGGCGAACGGGUGCGUAACACGUGAGCAAUCUGCCCAUCACAUCGGGAUAACUCCGGGAAACCGAAGCUAAUACCGAAUACGACCACCUCCGGCAUCGGAUGGUGGUGGAAAGUUCCGGCGGUGAUGGAUGAGCUCGCGGCCUAUCAGCUUGUUGGUGGGGUAACGGCCCACCAAGGCUUCGACGGGUAGCCGGCCUGAGAGGGUGACCGGCCACACUGGGACUGAGACACGGCCCAGACUCCUACGGGAGGCAGCAGUGGGGAAUAUUGGACAAUGGGCGAAAGCCUGAUCCAGCAACGCCGCGUGAGGGAUGACGGCCUUCGGGUUGUAAACCUCUUUCAGCAGGGACGAAGCGAAAGUGACGGUACCUGCAGAAGAAGCACCGGCCAACUACGUG
rnacentral:rRNA from 1 species